GAGUUUGAUCCUGGCUCAGAACGUACGCUGGCGGCACGCCUAACACAUGCAAGUCGAACGAAGUAGCAAUACUUAGUGGCAGACGGGUGAGUAACAUGUGGGUAUCUACCCUUUGGCCUGGAAUAACACGAGGAAACUUGUGCUAAUACCGGAUAAGUCUUUACGGAGAAAGCUUUAUGCACCAUUGGAUGAGCCCGCACUUGAUUAGUUUGUUGGUAGGGUAAUGGCCUACCAAGACUAUGAUCAAUAGCUGAUUUGAGAGGAUGAUCAGCCACAUUGGGACUGAGAUACGGCCCAAACUCCUACGGGAGGCAGCAGUGGGGAAUCUUGCACAAUGGAGGAAACUCUGAUGCAGCGAUGCCCCGUGAGUGAAGAAGGCCUUUGGGUUGUAAAGCUCUUUCGUCGGGGAAGAAAAUGACUGUACCCGAAUAAGAAGGUCCGGCUAACUUCGUGCCAGCAGCCGCGGUAAUACGAAGGGACUUAGCGUAGUUCGGAAUUACUGGGCUUAAAGAGUCGUAGGUGGUUGAAAAAGUUGGAGGUGAAAUCCCAGAGCUUAACUCUGGAACUGCCAUCAAAACUUUUCAGCUAGAGUAUGAUAGAGGAAAGCAGAAUUUCUAGUGUAGAGGUGAAAUUCGUAGAUAUUAGAAAGAAUACCAAUUGCGAAGGCAGCUUUCUGGAUCAUUACUGACACUGAGGAACGAAAGCAUGGGUAGCGAAGAGGAUUAGAUACCCUCGUAGUCCAUGCCGUAAACGAUGUGUGUUAGACGUUGGAAAUUUAUUUUCAGUGUCGCAGGGAAACCGAUAAACACACCGCCUGGGGAGUACGACCGCAAGGUUAAAACUCAAAGGAAUUGACGGGGGCCCGCACAAGCGGUGGAGCAUGUGGUUUAAUUCGAAGCAACGCGCAGAACCUUACCAACCCUUGACAUCCUGUGCUACUACCAGAGAUGGUACGUUCCCUUCGGGGACGCAGUGACAGGUGCUGCAUGGCUGUCGUCAGCUCGUGUCGUGAGAUGUUCGGUUAAGUCCGGCAACGAGCGCAACCCACAUCUUUAGUUGCCAGCAGGUUAAGCUGGGCACUCUAGAGAAACUGCCCGUGAUAAGCGGGAGGAAGGUGUGGAUGACGUCAAGUCCUCAUGGCCCUUACGGGUUGGGCUACACACGUGCUACAAUGGCAGUGACAAUGGGUUAAUCCCCAAAAGCUGUCUCAGUUCGGAUUGGGGUCUGCAACUCGACCCCAUGAAGUCGGAAUCGCUAGUAAUCGCGUAACAGCAUGACGCGGUGAAUACGUUCCCGGGCCUUGUACACACCGCCCGUCACACCAUGGGAGUUGGUUCUACCCGACGACGCCGCGCUAACCCUUCGGGGGGGCAGGCGGCCACGGUAGGAUCAGCGACUGGGGUGAAGUCGUAACAAGGUAACC
rnacentral:rRNA from 1 species